ACAGGAGCCGCCCCCGGGUGAGCCGGCGCACGCUUCGGGAGAGACCGGGGGCUGCGAAAGUUGAGACCGCCUCUUUUAGAAGGGGGAACCUAGGGCGGGUAAUGGACGACUUCAAACUGAGAAGCUUGUGGGACUUGAAACUCACUUUGAGGAUCCGGGAAACGUCCCCGGCGGAAUUCAGAGCCGCCGGGAAAGGGCCCGGGGAGGACCGGUGUCUUGAAAAGUUGGUUCGAAUACCUAAGCCAACGCCUUCUGAACUGUUGGGCCAACGAGGCGGUUGGUAAACGUUUUACAAACUCAGAAAUGGGCGGGCGGACUUCCAGUUCGGGUUUCCGAGAUGAAGACGAAAAGUUUUAUUCCGGUCGUGGCCCCCAAAGGUGCCUCUUUAACCCCUACCUGGGUGUAUUUCGAUCCUCCUCUUGCCACAGCCUCUGUACGGGGAUUGUUUCCGAAAGCCGUUUCUGCGAAUCUUCUUCCACCCAUCCAAACUGUGCGUCGAGUUCUACCUUGUUGGAAUUGCAGUUGCGGAAUGCCCUCUGAUAUGAAGGCCUCGGUCACCGGCGCAUUGGAGUCAGCGGGUGGCCAGGCCCGGUCCCCGAGCCGGACCCCCGAUGAGCUGGUUACGGACGGAGAGAACGGGAAGGGAUAAGACUCCAGGAGAGGACCAAGGGGUCACGUGGGCUGUGAUCCAUACAGGAGAUGACCCUUCUGCUUAUCAACCCAAGGGGAUGAAGUUUCAGCAGCCAAAACGACGGUUGAAACCAAGUCCAGCCCAAACCUGUGUUCUCCCAGGAGGCCCAGUGGGCGCCUAGUAAGGCCGUCUCAAGCCGGGCUCUGAAACGCUCUCUGCCCCGGUGCCAGACCCUCAACGAGUCCGUCUCGUACGUCGGGAUUUUUGAAAAGAAGAAAUCCGCUCGGAUUCAUUGGCUUCCGAACGUCUC